AGUACGGCCGCAAGGUUAAAACUCAAAUGAAUUGACGGGGGCCCGCACAAGCGGUGGAGCAUGUGGUUUAAUUCGACGCAACGCGAAGAACCUUACCUGGCCUUGACAUCCAGAGAACUUUCCAGAGAUGGAUUGGUGCCUUCGGGAACUCUGUGACAGGUGCUGCAUGGCCGUCGUCAGCUCGUGUCGUGAGAUGUUGGGUUAAGUCCCGUAACGAGCGCAACCCCUAUCCCUGGUUGCUAGCAGGUAAUGCUGAGAACUCCAGGGAGACUGCCGGUGGCAAACCGGAGGAAGGUGGGGAUGACGUCAGGUCAUCAUGGCCCUUACGGCCAGGGCUACACACGUGCUACAAUGGUGCGUACAGAGGGCUGCAAACUCGCGAGAGUAAGCCAAUCCCUUAAAACGCAUCGUAGUCCGGAUCGGAGUCUGCAACUCGACUCCGUGAAGUCGGAAUCGCUAGUAAUCGCGAAUCAGAAUGUCGCGGUGAAUACGUUCCCGGGCCUUGUACACACCGCCCGUCACUCCAUGGGAGUGGAUUGCACCAGAAGUGGUUAGUCUAACCUUCGGGAGGACGAUCACCACGGUGUGGUUCAUGACUGG
rnacentral:rRNA from 1 species